AAUGAACUUUGUGUGCAUUCUCCACAGAGAAAAAGGAUAGCAGGGCCCUAAAGUUCCAUAGGGUUAGUUGCCUUGACUCUAUGCAUUUAUAUACUGCCUUGCAGGAAUAAUUCCCCCUGUAUCACCUUGGUCAUCUGUGGGAAAUUGAGUUAAUCAUUUAACUUGGUUCCUACAUAGCACUGGCCCCAUCAAGUUUAUUUUCAAAAGUGACAUCAGUUCCAGAUGAGUCUUUCUAAUGGGUUGGGAUCCUGAAGGUCCCUCCCAAAGCUUUUUCCUUGCUCCCUGUUCCUCAGGGCAUCAGUAUUGCACUGGUUGUAAAAUCUGGCCUGAAUUUUAACUCCUGGAUGUUCGUGACUUGUUCUCCGAGCCUUUGAAUUUCAUGAGGUUGGAAUCUUCACUCCCUGUACUGGAAAAGAAUGAACAAAAAGCCAAGAGCAUAUGGAGGACCUCAUCAUCUGCAUGGAAUUCCCCUCCUUGACCUGAACUCUGCAGAACUGUCCCCUCACAACAGUAAUUACUUUUGGUGAGUAUAUAUCUCCUUAUUUUAUGACUUGUCUGAUGGUUAUUAUCAGAGGACCAUUGAAUAGGGUAAUUUCUGUUAUAUCUCCCCAGGAAUUUUGAAUGGUCUUGAUAUAUGUAUAGAAGAUAUCUUGCUGCAAAAG
rnacentral:lncRNA from 1 species